rnacentral:piRNA from 1 species
UAAUUGCUCAAUAAAGGUGGCUGCUGUUGU